rnacentral:misc_RNA from 1 species
GUGGCAAUUAACAUACCUAACAAAAUACUACAUAUCUAACAACUGCCACCCGAAUGGACGGGGUCAUUCCUUUUCUUAAUCACGUGUACGGUUCAGAUGCCACCCCAUCAUCACACUCCUCAUAAUGGCACCAACCAACUGUAUUUCUACGCGUGGGAAGACAUUACAGGGCCGUUAGAGCAAGGCUUUAUUAAACAACGGCGGACAACUCUACACCUGCAACUGCCAACCGUCCGAUUCGAACUACAGGCUUUUAAAUCCAACGGUCAGAAGCCAAGAAGUUGCUCGAGCUUUAACACUUCUCAAGCAUAUAUAUAAAUAUUCCGUGCCUAGAUGCCGUGUUCCAUUUUCUUUUUCUUUUCAUUCUCGAAACAGUAUUUACAGUACACCAUGGUAUUCUUCUGCUUUCUCGUUGAUCAGACCCGGAAAGUGCGGAGAAGCAAGCCGGCGGCGGGGACUUGCUCACGGUGCGGCGGUGGAGCCAGCGUAGCCGACAUGAAAACUUGCACAAGAUUUUGUUAUGUGCCAUUCUAUUGGAAGUCCUGGAAAGCUAUUAUAUGUACUUUCUGUGGCGCCAUUCUUCGAUCUUAUCGAUAAUUAUUUCAAGUCUUUUUUUUGCUUCAUUUAGUUCUCUUUU